AACGAACGCUGGCGGCAGGCUUAACACAUGCAAGUCGAACGCCCCGCAAGGGGAGUGGCAGACGGGUGAGUAACGCGUGGGAAUCUACCUAGUUCUACGGAACAACACAGGGAAACUUGUGCUAAUACCGUAUACGCCCUACGGGGGAAAGAUUUAUCGGAAUUAGAUGAGCCCGCGUAAGAUUAGCUAGUUGGUGAGGUAAUGGCUCACCAAGGCGACGAUCUUUAGCUGGUCUGAGAGGAUGAUCAGCCACACUGGGACUGAGACACGGCCCAGACUCCUACGGGAGGCAGCAGUGGGGAAUAUUGGACAAUGGGCGAAAGCCUGAUCCAGCCAUGCCGCGUGAGUGAUGAAGGCCUUAGGGUUGUAAAGCUCUUUCAGUAGGGAAGAUAAUGACGGUACCUACAGAAGAAGCCCCGGCUAACUUCGUGCCAGCCGCCGCGGUAACAC
rnacentral:rRNA from 1 species